UUCUAAAACAGGCAGUACAUAAUUAAUCGUCGUAACAAUUACAAGUUUUAAUAGUUCGGACGUUUACCAUUUGUUCGUCAUCGUUUUCUUGUCGCAUGAAUAAGUUCUCCCGCAGGAUCUCUCCAUUCCUGAAACGACGAGUGCCUCUACAAAAUGGAAUGGAAUGGAACUACGUGACAUUGUUUGCACGAUACCACCGAAACAUGUCUGUAAUCGUACAUAUUUCACGCGUACAUCGAAGCAGUAUUACGU
rnacentral:misc_RNA from 1 species